UACGAGGGCGGCUAGGGUUGUUCGGAAUUACUGGACGUAAAGCGCACGUAGGCGGAUUUGUUAGUCAGGGGUGAAAUCCCGGGGCUCAACCUCGGAACUGCCUUUGAUACUGCAAGUCUAGAGUCCGGAAGAGGUGAGUGGAAUUCCUAGUGUAGAGGUGAAAUUCGUAGAUAUUAGGAAGAACCCAAGUGGCGAAGGCGGCUCACUGGUCCGGUACUGACGCUGAGGUGCGAAAGCGUGGGGAGCAAACAGG
rnacentral:rRNA from 1 species